rnacentral:rRNA from 1 species
UCGUCCUACGGGAGGCAGCAGGGAGGAAUAUUGGUCAAUGGUCGCGAGACUGAACCAGCCAAGUAGCGUGCAGGAUGACGGCCCUAUGGGUUGUAAACUGCUUUUAUGCGGGGAUAAAAUGCGUCACGUGUGAUGUUUUGUAGGUACCGCAUGAAUAAGGACCGGCUAAUUCCGUGCCAGCAGCCGCGGUAAUACGGAAGGUCCGGGCGUUAUCAGGAUUUAUUGGGUUUAAAGGGAGCG